rnacentral:rRNA from 1 species
GGUUAAGCGACUAAGCGUACACGGUGGAUGCCCUGGCAGUCAGAGGCGAUGAAGGACGUGCUAAUCUGCGAAAAGCGUCGGUAAGGUGAUAUGAACCGUUAUAACCGGCGAUGUCCGAAUGGGGAAACCCAGUGCAAUUCGUUGCACUAUCGUUAACUGAAUACAUAGGUUAACGAGGCGAACCGGGGGAACUGAAACAUCUAAGUACCCCGAGGAAAAGAAAUCAACCGAGAUUCCCCCAGUAGCGGCGAGCGAACGGGGAGCAGCCCAGAGUCUGAAUCAGCUUGUGUGUUAGUGGAACGGUCUGGAAAGUCCGACGGUACAGGGUGAUAGUCCCGUACACCAAAAUGCACAGGCUGUGAACUCGAAGAGUAGGGCGGGACACGUGGUAUCCUGUCUGAAUAUGGGGGGACCAUCCUCCAAGGCUAAAUACUCCUGACUGACCGAUAGUGAACCAGUACCGUGAGGGAAAGGCGAAAAGAACCCCGGCGAGGGGAGUGAAAAAGAACCUGAAACCGUGUACGUACAAGCAGUGGGAGCACCUUUAUGGUGUGACUGCGUACCUUUUGUAUAAUGGGUCAGCGACUUAUAUUCUGUAGCAAGGUUAACCGUAUAGGGGAGCCGCAGGGAAACCGAGUCUUAACUGGGCGUUAAGUUGCAGGGUAUAGACCCGAAACCCGGUGAUCUAGCCAUGGGCAGGUUGAAGGUUGGGUAACACUAACUGGAGGACCGAACCGACUAAUGUUGAAAAAUUAGCGGAUGACUUGUGGCUGGGGGUGAAAGGCCAAUCAAACCGGGAGAUAGCUGGUUCUCCCCGAAAGCUAUUUAGGUAGCGCCUCGUGAACUCAUCUUCGGGGGUAGAGCACUGUUUCGGCUAGGGGGUCAUCCCGACUUACCAACCCGAUGCAAACUACGAAUACCGAAGAAUGUUAUCACGGGAGACACACGGCGGGUGCUAACGUCCGUCGUGAAGAGGGAAACAACCCAGACCGCCAGCUAAGGUCCCAAAGUCAUGGUUAAGUGGGAAACGAUGUGGGAAGGCACAGACAGCCAGGAUGUUGGCUUAGAAGCAGCCAUCAUUUAAAGAAAGCGUAAUAGCUCACUGGUCGAGUCGGCCUGCGCGGAAGAUGUAACGGGGCUAAACCAUGCACCGAAGCUGCGGCAGCGACACUAUGUGUUGUUGGGUAGGGGAGCGUUCUGUAAGCCUGCGAAGGUGGCCUGUGAGGGUUGCUGGAGGUAUCAGAAGUGCGAAUGCUGACAUAAGUAACGAUAAAGCGGGUGAAAAGCCCGCUCGCCGGAAGACCAAGGGUUCCUGUCCAACGUUAAUCGGGGCAGGGUGAGUCGACCCCUAAGGCGAGGCCGAAAGGCGUAGUCGAUGGGAAACAGGUUAAUAUUCCUGUACUUGGUGUUACUGCGAAGGGGGGACGGAGAAGGCUAUGUUAGCCGGGCGACGGUUGUCCCGGUUUAAGCAUGUAGGCUGAUUAUCCAGGCAAAUCCGGAUAAUCAAGGCUGAGGUGUGAUGACGAGGCACUACGGUGCUGAAGUAACAAAUGCCCUGCUUCCAGGAAAAGCCUCUAAGCAUCAGGUAACAUCAAAUCGUACCCCAAACCGACACAGGUGGUCAGGUAGAGAAUACCAAGGCGCUUGAGAGAACUCGGGUGAAGGAACUAGGCAAAAUGGUGCCGUAACUUCGGGAGAAGGCACGCUGGUGUGUAGGUGAAGUCCCUGCGGAUGGAGCUGAGACCAGUCGAAGAUACCAGCUGGCUGCAACUGUUUAUUAAAAACACAGCACUGUGCAAACACGAAAGUGGACGUAUACGGUGUGACGCCUGCCCGGUGCCGGAAGGUUAAUUGAUGGGGUUAUCCGUAAGGAGAAGCUCUUGAUCGAAGCCCCGGUAAACGGCGGCCGUAACUAUAACGGUCCUAAGGUAGCGAAAUUCCUUGUCGGGUAAGUUCCGACCUGCACGAAUGGCGUAAUGAUGGCCAGGCUGUCUCCACCCGAGACUCAGUGAAAUUGAACUCGCUGUGAAGAUGCAGUGUACCCGCGGCAAGACGGAAAGACCCCGUGAACCUUUACUAUAGCUUGACACUGAACAUUGAGCCUUGAUGUGUAGGAUAGGUGGGAGGCUUUGAAGCGUGGACGCCAGUCUGCGUGGAGCCAACCUUGAAAUACCACCCUUUAAUGUUUGAUGUUCUAACGUUGGCCCCUUACCGGGGUUGCGGACAGUGUCUGGUGGGUAGUUUGACUGGGGCGGUCUCCUCCCAAAGCGUAACGGAGGAGCACGAAGGUUAGCUAAUCCUGGUCGGACAUCAGGAGGUUAGUGCAAUGGCAUAAGCUAGCUUGACUGCGAGCGUGACGGCGCGAGCAGGUGCGAAAGCAGGUCAUAGUGAUCCGGUGGUUCUGAAUGGAAGGGCCAUCGCUCAACGGAUAAAAGGUACUCCGGGGAUAACAGGCUGAUACCGCCCAAGAGUUCAUAUCGACGGCGGUGUUUGGCACCUCGAUGUCGGCUCAUCACAUCCUGGGGCUGAAGUAGGUCCCAAGGGUAUGGCUGUUCGCCAUUUAAAGUGGUACGCGAGCUGGGUUUAGAACGUCGUGAGACAGUUCGGUCCCUAUCUGCCGUGGGCGCUGGAGAAUUGAGGGGGGCUGCUCCUAGUACGAGAGGACCGGAGUGGACGCAUCACUGGUGUUCGGGUUGUCAUGCCAAUGGCACUGCCCGGUAGCUAAAUGCGGAAGAGAUAAGUGCUGAAAGCAUCUAAGCACGAAACUUGCCCCGAGAUGAGUUCUCCCUGAGACUUUAAGUCUCCUGAAGGAACGUUGAAGACGACGACGUUGAUAGGCCGGGUGUGUAAGCGCAGCGAUGCGUUGAGCUAACCGGUACUAAUGAACCGUGAGGCUUAACCUU